CUUGAUAGUUCACUAUACCCACUAUCCGCCCGGGUACUACGAGCAUUAGCUUAAAACCCAAAGGACUUGGCGGUGCUUUAGAUCCACCUAGAGGAGCCUGUUCUAGAACCGAUAACCCCCGUUAAACCUCACCCUCUCUUGUUCUUCCCGUCUAUAUACCGCCGUCGUCAGCUUACCCUGUGAAGGAACCACAGUAAGCAAAACUAGUACAACCCAAAACGCCAGGUCGAGGUGUAGCAUAUGAGAGGGGAAGAAAUGGGCUACAUUCCCUACCACAGGGAAUACGAACAAUGCAAUGAAAUAUACAUUAGAAGGAGGAUUUAGCAGUAAGCAGAAAAUAGAGCG
rnacentral:rRNA from 1 species